rnacentral:rRNA from 1 species
UACGUAGGGUGCAAGCGUUGUCCGGAAUUAUUGGGCGUAAAGAGCUCGUAGGCGGUUUGUCGAGUCUGCUGUGAAAACUCGGGGCUUAACUCCGGGCCUGCAGUGGGUACGGGCAGACUAGAGUGCGGUAGGGGAGACUGGAAUUCCUGGUGUAGCGGUGAAAUGCGCAGAUAUCAGGAGGAACACCGGUGGCUAAGGCGGGUCUCUGGGCCGAUACUGACGCUGAGGAGCGAAAGCGUGGGGAGCGAACAGG